rnacentral:rRNA from 1 species
CCUACGGGUGGCAGCAGUGAGGAAUAUUGGUCAAUGGUCGUGAGACUGAACCAGCCAAGCCGCGUGCGGGAUGAAGGUACAGAGUAUCGUAAACUUCUUUUGUGCGGGAAUAAAGGCGGGGACGUGUCAUCGGAUGAGUGUACCUGAUGAAAAAGCACCGGCUAAUUCCGUGCCAGCAGCCGCGGUAAUACGGAGGGUGCGGGCGUUAUCCGGAUUUAUUGGGUUUAAAGGGUGCGUAGGCCGAUUGUUAAGUGCGCGGUCAAAUGCCGGGGGUCAACCACGGCCCCGCCGUUGAAAUUGGCAGUCUUGAGUGCGAGGAAAGUAUGCGGAAUUCGCGGUGUAGCGGUGAAAUGCAUAGAUAUCGCGCAGAACUCCGAUUGCGAAGGCAGCAUGCCGGCGCCCCACUGACGCUGAGGCACGAAGGCGUGGGUAUCGAACAGGAUUAGAGACCCUUGUAGUC